GACGAACGCUGGCGGCGUGCUUAACACAUGCAAGUCGAACGGAAAGGCCCUGCUUUUGUGGGGUGCUCGAGUGGCGAACGGGUGAGUAACACGUGAGUAACCUGCCCUUGACUUUGGGAUAACUUCAGGAAACUGGGGCUACUACAGGAUAGGAGCUCCUGCUGCAGGGAGGGGGUUGGAAAGUUUCGGCGGUUGGGGAUGGACGAGCGGCUUAUCAGCUUGUUGGUGGGGGAGUGGCUGACCAAGCCUUUGACGGGUAGCCGGCCUGAGAGGGUGACCGGCCACAUUGGGACUGAGGUACGGCCCAGUCUCCUACGGUAGGCAGCAGUGGGGAAUAUUGCACAAUGGGCGGAAGCCUGUUGCAGCAACGCCGCGUGCGGGAUGACGGCCUUCGGGUUGUAAACCGCUUUCGCCUGUGACGAAGCGUGAGUGACGGUAAUGGGUAAAGAAGCACCGGCUAACUACGUG
rnacentral:rRNA from 1 species